UGGGGAAUUUUGGACAAUGGGCGAAAGCCUGAUCCAGCAAUGCCGCGUGUGUGAAGAAGGCCUUCGGGUUGUAAAGCACUUUUGUCCGGAAAGAAAUCCUUGGCUCUAAUACAGUCGGGGGAUGACGGUACCGGAAGAAUAAGCACCGGCUAACUACGUGCCAGCAGCCGCGGUAAUACGUAGGGUGCAAGCGUUAAUCGGAAUUACUGGGCGUAAAGCGUGCGCAGGCGGUUUGCUAAGACCAUGUGAAAUCCCCGGGCUCAACCUGGGAACUGCAUUGGUGACUGGGCAGGCUAGAGUAUGGCAGAGGGGGGUAGAAUUCCACGUGUAGCAGUGAAAUGCGUAGAGAUGUGGAGGAAUACCGAUGGCGAAGGCAGCCCCCUGGGCCAAUACUGACGCUCAUGCACGAAAGCGUGGGGAGCAAACAGGAUUCAGAUACCCUGGUAGUCCAGCGCCCUAAACGAUGUCAACUAGUUGUUGGGAUUCAUUCCUUAGUAACGUAGCUAACGCGUGAAGUUGACCGCCUGGGGAGUACGGUCGCAAGAUUAAAACUCAAAUGAAUUGACGGGGUCAUAGCUG
rnacentral:rRNA from 1 species